UGGGGAAUUUUGCACAAUGGGGGAAACCCUGAUGCAGCGACGCCGCGUGAUUUAGAAGGCCUUCGGGUUGUAAAAAUCUUUUCUAUGGGAAGAAAAUGACAGUACCAUAGGAAUAAGGACCGGCUAACUACGUGCCAGCAGCCGCGGUAAUACGUAAGGUCCGAGCGUUGUCCGGAAUCAUUGGGCGUAAAGGGUACGUAGGCGGGUAAGCAAGUUAGAAGUGAAAUCCUAUAGCUCAACUAUAGUAAGCUUUUAAAACUGCUCAACUUGAGGUGUGGAAGGGAAAGUGGAAUUCCUAGUGUAGCGGUGAAAUGCGCAGAUAUUAGGGGGAAUACCGGUGGCGAAGGCGACUUUCUGGCCAUAACCUGACGCUGAGGUACGAAAGCGUGGGUAGCAAACAGG
rnacentral:rRNA from 1 species